GAUGAACGCUGGCGGCGUGCUUAACACAUGCAAGUCGAACGGGAAACCUUUUAAUGAAGCUUCGGCAGAUUUAGCUGGUUUCUAGUGGCGGACGGGUGAGUAACGCGUGGGUAACCUGCCUUAUACAGGGGGAUAACAGUCAGAAAUGACUGCUAAUACCGCAUAAGCGCACAGGACCGCAUGGUCCGGUGUGAAAAACUCCGGUGGUAUAAGAUGGACCCGCGUUGGAUUAGCUUGUUGGUGGGGUAACGGCUCACCAAGGCGACGAUCCAUAGCCGGCCUGAGAGGGUGAACGGCCACAUUGGGACUGAGACACGGCCCAGACUCCGACGGGAGGCAGCAGUGGGGAAUAUUGCACAAUGGGGGAAACCCUGAUGCAGCGACGCCGCGUGAAGGAAGAAGUAUCUCGGUAUGUAAACUUCUAUCAGCAGGGAAGAUAGUGACGGUACCUGACUAAGAAGCCCCGGCUAACUACGU
rnacentral:rRNA from 1 species